ensembl:ncRNA EGAP1.4 ncRNA
AUCGACGAAUCUUUGAUCGAGUUGGAAUACCAGAGAAUUUGUAAGAACUUGUAUACAAAAUACUUAGUAGAACAAUUGAGGAAGAAUGGAGGAAUGAGUGAAGAGUUGUAGGGUGAUCGGAGGGGCACUGC